rnacentral:rRNA from 1 species
CCUACGGGUGGCAGCAGUGAGGAAUAUUGGUCAAUGGGCGAGAGCCUGAACCAGCCACGUAGCGUGAAGGAUGACUGCCCUACGGGUUGUAAACUUCUUUUAUAUGGGAAUAAAAUGUUCCACGUGUGGGAUUUUGUAUGUACCAUAUAGAUCAAGAUCGGCUACCUGCGGUCCAGCAGCCGCGGUAAUACGGAGGAACCGAGCGUUAUCCGGAUUUAUUGGGUUUAAAGGGCGCGUAGGUGGGUUGUUAAGUCAGUUGUGAAAGUUUGCGGCUCAACCGUAAAAGUGCAGUUGAAACUGGCAGUCGUGAGUGCAGGAGAGGUAGGCGGAAUUCGUGGUGUAGCGGUGAAAUGCUUAGAUAUCACGAAGAACUCCGAUUGCGAAGGCAGCGUACUGGACUGCAACUGACGCUGAGGCUCGAAAGUGUGGGUAUCAAACAGGAUUAGAUACCCGAGUAGUC